rnacentral:rRNA from 1 species
AUUGAACGCUGGCGGCAGGCCUAACACAUGCAAGUCGAGCGAGCGGCGGACGGGUGAGUCCUGUCUGGGAAACUGCCUGAUGGAGGUGGAUAACUACUGGAAACGGUAGCUAAUCCCGCAUCCCAUCAGAUGUGCCCAGAUGGGAUUAGCUAGUAGGUGGGGGAACGGCUCACCAAGGCGACGAUCCCUAGCUGGUCUGAGAGGCUGACCAGCCACACUGGAACUGAGACACGGUCCAGACUCCUACGGUAGGCAGCAGUGGGGAAUAUUGGACAAUGGGCGCAAGCCUGAUGCAGCCAUGCCGCGUGUAUGAAGAAGGCCUUCGGGUUGUAAAGUACUUUCAGCGGGGAGGCGUUACCCGCAGAAGAAGCACCGGCUAACUCCGUGCCAGCAGCCGCGGUAAUUC